rnacentral:lncRNA from 1 species
AUGAAUUUAUUAUGUAUCCAAGAACAGAACAAUUUAUUUACAAACAAUAAAUUAAAAUACAAAAUGGGACGAAAAUGUACUCAUCCACCUAUGUAUGUAUGGUACAAUAUAUAACUAGACCUUCCAAAAGUUUAUUACUAUAAAAUUAAUGAAUUGAAUUGAAACGAUCCACCAAAUUAGGAGUUGGUUGUCCAACCUUUAAAAACUUCAAAUCAUUCUCUAAAGGUGUAAAAUUCAAAUCCAGAAACAAAAAUCUCUUGCUGUUUCCCUUGCUCCUCUUUGCUGAAUCAGUAUUAGUACUAUUAUCAAUUGUACUGCAACCACUAUUGCUGCUACUAGUAGUUGUAGUAGUCAUAAAAUUAUGCAUGUUUCCAUUUGAGUUAUUAGCUUUUGAUGAUUCUGUUCUUCUGUGUCUUCUCAUGUGACCACCCAAAGCUUGUCCUAUUCCAAAUUCUAAUCCACAAAUAGAACAUGCAUGCGUUUUAGCCUUCGUCGUUGAUGUAAGUAUUGAACCAUGAUGAUCAUCACCAUCACUAGUCAUCUCCAUCAACCUCGGUUUCUUGUGACUCGCUCGGUGUCCUCCCAACGCUUGAAACGAUGAAAAUUGUCUUUUACAUGUCUUGCACUCAAACACACGGUUGUUGAAAUUUGAAGAGUAAUUCACUUGAUCAAAUAUUUUAUCACUUCCACCAGAAAGUAACAUCAAGUAUUUAGCCAUGGUUAUGCUAUUAGUGUUAUGAUCAGUUUCUCUUUCUCUCUUC